rnacentral:misc_RNA from 1 species
GUAGGUGAACCUGCGGAAGGAUCAUUACAGUAGUCAUCCGGGUUGCCGCAAGGCCUCCCGGGUAACCUACCACCCUUUGUUUAUUACACUUUGUUGCUUUGGCAGGCCUGCCCUCGGGCUGCUGGCUCCGGCCGGCGAGCGUCUGCCAGAGGACCUAAACUCUGUUUGUCUAUAAUGUCUGAGUACUAUAUAAUAGUUAAAACUUUCAACAACGGAUCUCUUGGUUCUGGCAUCGAUGAAGAACGCAGCGAAAUGCGAUAAGUAAUGUGAAUUGCAGAAUUCAGUGAAUCAUCGAAUCUUUGAACGCACAUUGCGCCCCCUGGUAUUCCGGGGGGCAUGCCUGUCCGAGCGUCAUUACAACCCUCAAGCUCAGCUUGGUGUUGGGCCCCGCCGCCCCGGCGGGCCCUAAAGUCAGUGGCGGUGCCGUCCGGCUCCGAGCGUAGUAAUUCUUCUCGCUCUGGAGGUCCGGUCGUGUGCUUGCCAGCAACCCCCAAUUUUUUUCAGGUUGACCUCGGAUCAGGUA